rnacentral:rRNA from 1 species
ACGGGGAGCACCACAACAGGUGGAGCCUGCGGUUUAAUCGGACUCAACGCCGGGAAACUCACCAGAUAAGACAGCUGAAUGAUAGUCGGGCUGAAGACUCUACUUGACUAGCUGAGAGGAGGUGCAUGGCCGUCGUCAGUUCGUACUGUGAAGCAUCCUGUUAAGUUAGGCAACGAGCGAGACCCACGCCAACAGUUGCCAGCUCGUCCUCCGGGAUGGUGGGGACACUGUUGGGACCGCCUCUGCUAAAGAGGAGGAAGGAAUGGGCAACGGUAGGUCAGCAUGCCCCGAAUUAUCUGGGCUACACGCGGGCUACAAUGGGUGGGACAAUGGGUAUCGACACCGAAAGGUGAAGGCAAUCUCCUAAACCCAUCCGUAGUUCGGAUUGUGGGCUGCAACUCGCCCACAUGAAGCUGGAAUCUGUAGUAAUCGUGUCUCAAAAUGGCACGGUGAAUAUGUCCCUGCUCCUU